UAGAGUUUGAUCCUGGCUCAGGACGAACGCUGGCGGCGUGCCUAAUACAUGCAAGUCGAGCGAGCUUGCCUAGAUGAUUUUAGUGCUUGCACUAAAUGAAACUAGAUACAAGCGAGCGGCGGACGGGUGAGUAACGCGUGGGUAACCUGCCCAAGAGACUGGGAUAACACCUGGAAACAGAUGCUAAUACCGGAUAACAACACUAGACGCAUGUCUAGAGUUUGAAAGAUGGUUCUGCUAUCACUCUUGGAUGGACCUGCGGUGCAUUAGCUAGUUGGUAAGGUAACGGCUUACCAAGGCAAUGAUGCAUAGCCGAGUUGAGAGACUGAUCGGCCACAUUGGGACUGAGACACGGCCCAAACUCCUACGGGAGGCAGCAGUAGGGAAUCUUCCACAAUGGACGAAAGUCUGAUGGAGCAACGCCGCGUGAGUGAAGAAGGGUUUCGGCUCGUAAAGCUCUGUUGGUAGUGAAGAAAGAUAGAGGUAGUAACUGGCCUUUAUUUGACGGUAAUUACUUAGAAAGUCACGGCUAACUACGUGCCAGCAGCCGCGGUAAUACGUAGGUGGCAAGCGUUGUUCGGAUUUAUUGGGCGUAAAGCGAGUGCAGGCGGUUCAAUAAGUCUGAUGUGAAAGCCUUCGGCUCAACCGGAGAAUUGCAUCAGAAACUGUUGAACUUGAGUGCAGAAGAGGAGAGUGGAACUCCAUGUGUAGCGGUGGAAUGCGUAGAUAUAUGGAAGAACACCAGUGGCGAAGGCGGCUCUCUGGUCUGCAACUGACGCUGAGGCUCGAAAGCAUGGGUAGCGAACAGGAUUAGAUACCCUGGUAGUCCAUGCCGUAAACGAUGAGCGCUAAGUGUUGGGAGGUUUCCUCCUCUCAGUGCUGCAGCUAACGCAUUAAGCACUCCGCCUGGGGAGUACGUCCGCAAGGUUGUAACUCAAAGGAAUUGACGGGGGCCCGCACAAGCGGUGGAGCAUGUGGUUUAAUUCGAAGCAACGCGAAGAACCUUACCACGUCUUGACAUCCAGUGCAAACGUAAGAGAUUAGGUGUUCCCUUCGGGGACGAUGAGACAGGUGGUGCAUGGCUGUGGUCAGCUCGUGUGGUGCGAUGUCGGGUUAAGUCCCGCAUCGAGCGCAUCCCUUGUCAUUAGUUGCCAUCAUUAAGUGGGGCACUCUAAUGAGACUGCCGGUGACAAACCGGAGGAAGGAGGGGAAGAAGUCAAGUCAUCAUGCCCCUUAUCACGUGGGCUACACACGUGUUACAAUGGAGGGUACAACGAGAA
rnacentral:rRNA from 1 species